AGUUGUAUAAGAUGAAGGUUUGCUCGUGAGUCCUCCAUGCGGUAUAUGUCUGUGGCCCAAAGCAGGGCAUUAGGCUUAGGCAGAGAAAUGGACAUUGGGAAGGGCCCAAUUCAGAUGCCCAGGCUCAGAGGGAAGGCCAGCUGGAGGGUAUGAUAGCAUAGGGAGUACAGGGAAACACGGUCAUACUCCAGUCAUUCACACUUAUGGCAGACAUGACAAAUUCACUCAUGAACUCUCCAAAGACCCAGCUGGGAAGGGGAUAGAGCAUAGCCUGAAAGGGCAUGCAACAUACCAGGAAGAUGAUGACUGCCAAUGGCGAUGUAGAAGUUGGUGACAGUCCUCAUCUGCUUGUGCUUAGAGAUCACAAGGAGAUGACUAAUGAAUUGCCUGCUAAUCCCACUACUGGAGGAGCAGCAACGAAGAAUGGCACCAUAUUAAGAUAAGAUGGAUAUGGAAAUAUAUAGAUGGAGAGAAGAGCCAGGAAGUGAAGAUAGUAUAUCUUUUGAGUCCUCUGGAAAUCAUCAUUAGUGUUGAUG